rnacentral:lncRNA from 1 species
GAGAGAGGCUGAGGAGUACGUACCAAGGGACAGUUUGUGAGACUCUGGUAGGUCCGUGACUGAGGGCACCCUUGUGGGAUGCUGAGUGUAGCCAUCAGGAAGCUGGGUCCCAGCCAACUCAGCCUGGGCUCUGCCGUUCUCCAGUGGUCAGAUAAGAAAGAGCGGUGUGGUCCUCUAAGGGAGUGAGCGAGCCCCUCCCUCCCCACUGCUGAUAUAACAGCAUGAAAUUAAACCUAUUCCAGUCUGUGACAUCUGAUCCCUUUGACAUGACAUAGUACAACCUGUAGAGCCAGAGGUGGGGGCCAGGAAGCCCUGUUCUAGUCUCUCUGCACAACCUUGAGCCAUCUCAUCAUCUGCACAUCUGCCUGAACCUCAGUCUCCCACUCUGGACGUUGUCGGGGUGAUGGAGCAAGCAUUCAGUUAUUCUCUGCUGGAUUCUGAUGUGGUCUAAAGUCCACACUUUGUUGUGAAACACCGCAAUCUGUGAUGUACAGAACCUAUUACUGCGGCCACCCAGGAAUGCUGGGGGCAGGCCUUUUGAGAAGGUGAAUCAGCGUGUGUUAGCUCAGGGCAGAGGGCCUGGCGGUGAGACGUGAGAACAGCCAAUGUCAUGGCGGUGGGGGAGUGGACGUGAGCCAUCUGGGGCCCAGCAAACAGCAUGUUGAAAAAAACGAGGAACUCAAAGGCAGAUGAGCCUACCACGCUGGGAACAGUUGGGAGUACAUUGCUCAAGCCCCGGCCAGUUUUAUGUCACUGCUGGUGUGAAGCAGUGAACAGUGACCCAGCAUGCAUCCAGGUGGCGGGACAGAGUCAGACUCUCCAGGGCAGAGAGACUCUAAAACUGACGGCCAGGUCUUGCUCAGACUACGGGCCUGAGGGAAGAUCCAAGACUGAAACAGGGCUUGGAAUGGAGGGGGUGGAGUUGAGGAGAUCACAGAGGACCUAGGAGUGUGUGUAUCGGAGAGAGAUAGGAAACCACUGACCGUUCAGCACACAUUCAGAAUUACUGCCUGUCCCAGGGAGGGACCCACAGCUCCGGCGCUCCGUUCAGCAUCUGGAAGAGCAUAGCUCGCUGUGAGCGGCCGCCCCAGAAGACUGUAUCCCACCCAGCCAGCUCUCCUGCCUGCUUGCCUCUGCCCCACACCAGGACACUUCAUACUGUCAGAACCACUGGGUGUGUGAGCUUGUGAGAGGGUGUGUGGGCACACAUGUCCCUGUGUGGGGUGUGGAGGUCAGAGGGCAACUUGGAGGAAUUGGUUCUCUCCUUCCACCACUGGGGCCCAGGAAUCAAGCCGAGGUUCCCAGACGUGGUAGCAGCCUCCCUUACCUGUUAAACCAGUGCUUCCCAGACUUCCUAAUGCUGUGACCUCAUGCUGUGCUGACCCCCGCCCAUGACAUUAUCUCUGUUGGUAUUUUAUAACUGUAAUUUUGCUACUAUUAUGAAUCACAAUGUAAAUGUCUGUUUUCUGAUGGUC